GCUGGUUGCUCAGUGGUUAGAGUGUUGGCCUGCAGACCUAAGGGUCGUGGGUUCAAUUCCCAGUCAAGGGCA
rnacentral:tRNA from 1 species